rnacentral:rRNA from 1 species
AUACGUAGGUGACAAGCGUUAUCCGGAUUUACUGGGCGUAAAGGGCGUGUAGGCGGUCUUGCAAGUCAGAAGCGAAAUUCCUGAGCUCAACUCGGGCGCUGCUUCUGAAACUGCAGGACUUGAGUGCUGGCGGGGAUAGCGGAAUUCCUCGUGGAGCGGUAAAAUGCGCAGAUAUUAGGAAGAACACCGGUGGCGAAGGCGGCUAUCUGGACAGUAACUGACGCUGAGGCGCGAAAGCGUGGGGAGCAAACAGGAUUAGAUCCCCUGGUAGUCCACGCCGUAAACGAUGAAUACUAGGUGUAGGGGGUAUCGACUCCCUCUGUGCCGCAGUUAACACAAUAAGUAUUCCGCCUGGGGAGUACGGCCGCAAGGUUGAAACUCAAAUGAAUCGACGGGG